ensembl:snRNA U6 U6 spliceosomal RNA
GUGCUCACUUUGGCAGCACAUAUACUACAAUUGGAAUGAUAUGAGAAGAUUAGCACAACCCCUGUGCAAGGAUGACACACAAAUUCAUGAAGAGUUCCAUAUUUUU